GUGGGGAAUAUUGCACAAUGGGCGCAAGCCUGAUGCAGCGACGCCGCGUGAGGGAUGACGGCCUUCGGGUUGUAAACCUCUGUUAGCAGGGAAGAAGAGAGAUUGACGGUACCUGCAGAGAAAGCGCCGGCUAACUACGUGCCAGCAGCCGCGGUAAUACGUAGGGCGCGAGCGUUGUCCGGAAUUAUUGGGCGUAAAGAGCUUGUAGGCGGUUUGUCGCGUCUGCUGUGAAAGGCCGGGGCUUAACCCCGUGUAUUGCAGUGGGUACGGGCAGACUAGAGUGCAGUAGGGGAGACUGGAAUUCCUGGUGUAGCGGUGGAAUGCGCAGAUAUCAGGAGGAACACCGAUGGCGAAGGCAGGUCUCUGGGCUGUAACUGACGCUGAGAAGCGAAAGCAUGGGGAGCGAACAGGAUUAGAAACCCCAGUAGUCC
rnacentral:rRNA from 1 species